CCAGAAUAAGGGUAAGUCUGUGGCUGGGACAGGGUAAAUGAUGAGUGAAUUGUGAUGUCACAUCCAUCUAUGACUAUCUUAGGAAUUAAGAGCAAGAAUUCUAGAAUCAAAAACUGAAGUUCUCAUCUCACCCUCACACACUAACUUGUCACCUUGGGGAAGUUACAUUAACUCUGUCAUUUUAUUUGAGCUAACCUAAUUGUGUUUCAGGCUUUUAACAAGUUUUCAUUGAUAAUGAGGCUUACAGUUAGCAUUUUAAAGCUUACAUAAAAUUCUCCAAGUUAGUGAUUCAUAUAUACCUUUUAAGUUAAGAAGCUCGAGUACGUAAUCCUUCCUGCAGAAGGACGUGGGCUGUGUUUGUGAAAAGACCAGGUUGUGCUGGCUGCUGUUUGUUUUGUUUGUCUUGACAAUGUGGAUUGUUACCAAACCUAUUGAUCUGCAGCUUUUGGAUCAAUAAGACAUGGUGGAAAUGAGCACCUUGGCCGUGUUGUCUUGUGGCUCACUCACCCCUUCAGAAGUGGAUGGAAAGUAGAUGAGGUUUGGGGGAAGAGGACGCUUGGAGGACUGCAAGUGAUGAACAUCCCUGUAAUGAAUGCCCCAGCCCCAAAUCAAGGUGGGUUUCUUGUGCAUUUAUUCUCCCUGAAGAAGGACUGAAGUGGCGGAAAAAAACAAUUGUGAUUUCAAAAUGCUGAUGCUGGCCAUCCUAAGCAAGGCCUUUGUUGCUGCUGAUUGCCAACUGGGUAUAGAAAAUGAAGCUCAGGGGAGAGGACGGAAACAACAAAGGAAAGGUCACAGUGCUCUGCAUAGAGAAAGAGAAAAAGAUGCUAGAUCACCCUGGGGAGCCUGAGCAUCAUGGCAAGAGGCUGGAAGAGAGAGGAGAAAUCGAAGGACAGAAAGGACUCCUGGGAGCAGGACUAUUGGAGAAAGCCUAUUGUUGGAUGAAGUAGUCCAGUUCAGUACAAUGGCAUGUGGAAAACCAGAUUUGCAAGUUUUAGAGGUGGACAAUGAAUCAUCAGAUUAUUCAUGAAUGGAUGAUGAAGAUGAUAAUGACUUUGACAUUGACCAUACGAGCCAAAGUUCCUGUGACUAUGAAAUGGAACAAGACUCGACAGAUACAGACACAGGGAAUGCAGACCUUCUUGAUUCAAACUACAAAACAGCAACAUGAGUGUAUAUUUGACUCAUAGAAAUGGUACAAAAUGGUCACGCAACCAAAUGCAACAAUCCAAUGCUAGAAUGAGGUCCAAAAAUAUGGUGAGGAUCUUGUAGGGGUGAAACCUAGACAGAAUGCCAACACUUCUAUUCAGUGUUGGAAUUUGUUUGUAACAGAUGAAACGCUACACGAUGUUGUGAAAUAUAUAAAUGCUGAAAUAAAAGUAAAAUGU
rnacentral:lncRNA from 1 species